rnacentral:sRNA from 1 species
CGUGCAUGCAAUACUCGCAUAAGGCGGC